UCUCUAUACCUAACUGUGUUAAAUGUGUGUAACACUGAAUUUUUUCUUUGGCUUGAGGUUAGAUUGUGAUAAGGCCAAUUAUACGUGAAACGUAUUUUUUUUUCUUUACUACGAAGCUAGAACGUAUUUCAUUUAACCAAAACGGUUCGUUUGAGCCAAAAAUAAUGUUAAAUAUACGGAGUUAAUACUUUAAAUUUUCUUUAAAGUCACCAGCGACUGAAUGUAUGGAAUCCGGCGCAACAUGUAACACAUUCAAUAAUAUAAGGUGGUUGCCAAUGAGAGAACACACCAGGGCUGUUUGAUAAUGAAAAUCAACAUUAACAGCGCUGCAGUGGAUAUGAAAUGAUGUCUCUUUAAUUCCUAAGAUGAUUUUCAGCAGUCAGAAUAAUGACAGAUGUGCGAACUUUAUUCAAUAGCGAGAUUUUCAAUGGUGAAAAAUUACCUUUGGUAAAUAAACAAUUUUAAUAGCCAAAUGCAGCAUUGGCAGAAAUAAACUCUACACGAUUUUAUUUACUGGCCAAUGCAUAGUCCUUGGAGUGCAGGACACCACUAAAACUGGGAUCAUUACCAAUAGGUACUUGGAGAAAGCUAAUAGGUAGUAAUGUGUAGUGUCGCUUUGAUAAGAUGCACACAUUUUUUUUCAUGAAUGGAAAGUUGAUGAUAACAAGGCAAACGGUUUAUGAUAUAUCGUGCCGCACUGAAGGCUUAUUGGCGUGACUCAGGGGUUGAGGCGAGAAGAAAUGAAUGUUAACCGAGGAACAGAAAGAAAGAACAAGGCUUGAAAGGUACACCGUGGAGAAGAGUAGACAAUGGUUGUCUACAGAUUACAACAUGCCGCCUAUUGGGUCUUGUAUCGAUUGGGAGGGAUGCUGAGGAUGUCACCACACUAAAUAUUUACUGAUCACACACAAAUAACACGGGCAUAUCGAUUGUUUUUCGCUGGUGAGAACGGCGCAAAGGGGGUAAAUCAUUGUGUGUAAAGAGAGGUUUUAAAAGGCAUGUUUCAGAUGUGGGGAUAAAAGAUAAAAAGAGGUGCGGGAAUCAAUAGACACUGAUUAUGAAGCGAUUCUUGACUGUGGGGGUGAGGUGGAGGACCAGGACUAACACUGAGAUUUCAUUGUAAAAUUAUGGAAAGGCAGGAAAGAGAUGGCGAGGGACGAGGCGUCCACGGAAGGUUCGGGGAUUUGAACAUCUAACUAGUUUGCCUUGGAUGCUGUUGCUAAAUGCACGAUCCAUUAUAUACCGCCCUAUAUGAAUACAGUAUAUCCAUACAUUCCAAUGCAUUCCACGGAUAAAUACGAAGUGUCACAACAUUGAUGUAAACAUAAACACUUUAGAAAAAAAACCGACAUGACUGCUGAAGCAAAUCCAGACAACAUUUUAAGCAAAUUGAGACUCCGUCUAUAUUUAGCUGUAAAGCUGUAUAGAACCAAAAAGGCAAACUGCAUCCCGAGGUAUCUGGGAAAGUCUAAUUAGCGAUUUGCAGAGUGUCAUCUCCUGUUUUGCACUCCCUGGAGAUGAAGUGCGAGCUGCAGGUGGAAGAUGAUGAUGGUGUGUGCGUUUUGUGUGAGAGGGAAAAUGCAUUUCCUCUCACCUUCCAGCGAGCAGUCCCGCGCCAAGGCUAGGAUAGGCACCUCUGACCCCGGGCCUCACGCUGCUGCCCCGAUUAACCCAUCCAGGCCCAAGAUAUAACAAAGAUUAACCAGGCUAAUGAACACGCUAAAAAUAAACUGAUCGAGUUUGAAGGCUGGGCGGAAAGAUUUAGAGUAAGCGAGAAUGUAGCUAGAAUCUGAUUGAUGUUUAACUGGAUGCCUGAUAGAGAACCAGUGGUGGUCUCUCAUCAUCUUCUUCUUUGAGAUCAAACGACAGACAGAAUGCAUUCCUGACCCUGUUUCAUUGCAUGCAUCUGCAAAAUCUAUGAACAUUAAAUGUCCAGUAGAAUUUCCCACGUGCAUUAGUGGAUGAAAUAACAGAAUGUGGAGCAUCUAUCUGUCAACCCUUGGGAUUACGGACCUCGUUAUAAUGGAUUUUGGCUACAGUUGACCGAGGUGGUGUAUGGAGUCAGUACAUUCCAGAUAAAUUUCCAUAUUCUUUCCAGAUUGAGGUGUGACCAACAACACAGAGGCUGAAGAGAUUUUCUUACGAUUAAUUGGAGGACUCUGAGGGUAGGUAACUUCACAAGGCCAUAAAUCAUGGUAGCAGAAUUAGGCCAUUCAGCGUAUCAAGUCUACUCCACCUUUCGAUCAGGUCUGAUCUACUUUUCCCCUCUCAACACCAUUCCCCUGCCAUCUCACUGUAACCUUUGAAACACUUCAUGAAUUCAACACUGAAUAAUUCAAUUAGAGUACAUACAGUUGAGUACAGGAACAGGUCCUACAGUCUACCAUGUCUACACCCCACGACCAUGACACCAAGCGGGGUGGCACGGUGGCACAGAGGUAUGACUGCUGCCUUACAGCGCCAGAGACCCAGGUUCAAUCCUGACUACGGCCACUGUCUGUAUGGAGUUAGUAGGUUCUCCCUAUCACCUGUGUGGGCUUUCUCCGCGAUAUUCCAUCUUCCUCAUUGGAGAUCUUUAAACUAUCUUUAAUCGGACUUUACUGAACUUGAUCUUGCACUAAACAUUAUUCCCUUUAGCCUGUGCCGGUAUACUGUGGAUGGCUCGAUUGUAAUCAUGGAUAGUCUCUACGCUGACUGGGUAGCAUGCAACAAAAAAAGCUUUUCACUGUACCUCGGUACACGUCACGAUGAUUAACUUAACGAAACUAAACUGAACUAUAUUGUACAACGAGAGAUCAAUAUUUCAAUCCAAUAAAUGAUAAAUAUUUGCACCUCAUAUAUGCUGUUUACACUCAUCAUACCCAACUUACGAUUAACUUGUAGUGUGAAUCACCUGACGGUAGGGCACAGUGGCACAGCGGUAGAGUUGCUGCCUCAUAGCGCCAGAGACCUGGGUUUGAUCCUGACUACGGGUGCUGUCUGUACGGAGUUUGUACCUUCUCUCCGUGACCUGCGUGAGUUUUCUUUGGGUCCUCCGGUUAACUUACAAACCUGCACGUCUUUGGGAUGUGGGAGGAAUCUGGAGCACAAAAUCUAAACCGUGUCUCUGGCGCUGUGAGGCAGCAGCUCUACCCAUGCGCCAUGGCGCCACCCUUUGGAUAAGCUCUUGGAUAAAUGAAGCUGUGCCAUUAAUGGGAAGACACAAUAGAACGUGUUUCCCAGAUCGUGAAAGGCAUCUGAUUACUUUCACACUGAGGAUUUCUAAUUAAACUAAAGCUGUUGGAACUCAAGAAUUAAAAUGUGGUAUCUGUUACUGAAUAGGAAACAGUCCAUAAUGGCUGAGAACCAGCAUGAGGCUGGAACCAACAUUAAGUGGCAUCUCUAGAUCUUUAUAUCGGAGUCAUUCUUUGUAGUUUACAUUCAUGCACAGAUUCAUAGCAAACAGGUAACAUUUGUGGGUGAUAUUCAACUAGGAAGGGGUAGUAGAAGUGAAUCAGACAGCUCAGAAAUAGAAACAAGGGAUUGCCGAGGCUAGUUUACAAAACUAUCCUACCAUUGAAUCAUCCUACCACAACCAGAGGGAGCAGUCCUGAACUACUAUCUUGGUAACCCUCGGACUAUCUUUGAUCGGACUUUACUGGCUUUACCUUGCAUUAAACAUUAUUCCCUUAUUAUGUAUCUAUACACAGUAAAUGGCUCGAUUGUAAUCAUGUAUUUUCUGCACUGCAUUGUUCUAUGUGAUAACAAAGGAUGAAGGAUAAGUUGGUGCCCUACAGUGUCAAUGCUCAAUGUUUAAAACCAUUGCAACUCAGCAGUGAAAACUUCACAGCAGAAAGGUAAACACAAUGCUGGAGAAUAACUUGCACAAGGUAAGACUUGACAUCAGGAGGAAUGACUGGGGAACGCUGGAAUAUCCCCUACAGAAGAGACAUCUUCUUGGUGAGCUAAGCAUCUAAGCAAUCAAUGGAAAGAAAAGGUGGAUGUACACUACCACUUGAAAUUAAAUGAUGGCAAUCAAACACAAGGUAUGUAAAUACAAGACAUAAAACUCAGAGCAAAAAGUACUCUUACACACAGAAAACAGUUUAAAUCGAAUUGCAUUAGAGUCACUUAAUGAACUGUGAAAAGGAUAACUGGAGAAACCUAGCUUUGUUCUGAGAGAUUGAAGGGCCUGUCCCACUUACGUGAUUUGUUCGGCGAGUGCUGGCACCCGUCACAGUCGCAGCAGGUUGGUCGCCAUGUUGAAAAUCCAGCGGCGACCAGAAAAAGUUACGACAUGUCACCUGUAUGGUCGUGAGUAGUCGCCCAAAGAGUUGUACUUUUUUCUGGUCGAUGCUGGAUUUUCAACAUGUUGAAAAAUGUUGGCGACCUGCUGCGACUAUGCCGGGUGCCGGCAGUCGCCGAAGAAAUCGCGUAAGUGGGACAGGCCCUUAAGUAAGAUAGAUUAAAAUUUGAUUCCUUAAGUAUAUUGUAAUCUUGCGCGGAUAUAAUUUUCAUAACAAUGCAUCAAUGAUAUUUAAAUGUCACCCGAUGAGACAUUUUCCAUUCAUUUUCACGACGUAAACAAUUUUAAAACAUAAACGGUGGUAAAAGUAUGAAAAGUAAAACCAAUGAGAAAACAAGAAGAAAUAUCAGCAUUAAAAUAAAUUGCUGAAUUGCUUGUUACUUGUAGCAUCCAAUAAUUUAUGCACUGAAUGUCUUGUAGGGUUUUGGUGCCAGUUUAGUAAUGAAUAACAGGAGACUGAGAGCCUGAUUGCUAAUGGACAUUUAUUAUGGAGUUAAAAACUUUUGGAUUCCUUUACUAAUCCCAAUUAAGAAUCACAGUUUCUUCCCAGCUGUUAUCAGGCAAUUGAACCGUCCUCUCAUCAGCUGGAGAGCGGUCCUGACCUCCCAUCUACCUCAUUGGAGACUUUUGACCAAUGUCUUUAACUGGACUUUAUCUUGCAGUAAAUGUUGUACCAUUGAUCCUUUAUCCAUGCCCUGUGUUGCUUGAUUGUAUUCAUGUGGUGUUUUAUUUGACUGGCUCGCAAGCAAAUGCUUUUUAAAGUACCUGAAUAGGCAAUUUCCUUCGCUCCAUAGAUGCUGCUGCACCCGCUGAGUUUCUCCAGCAUUUUUGUCUACCUUUGAUUUUCCAGCAUCUGCAGUUCCUUCUUGAACACUAAACUAAACUAUAUCUGUUGGUGAACAUUACAAACUUACAACCCAGUGGAAUGAGUUUUGAUUUCUCUAAUUUCAAGUCACCCCUGCAUUCCCUCUCUCCCCAUCCCUCCCCCACCCAAGUUGCACCAGCUUCUCAUUCUUACCCAACACCAGCUAACAAUGGACUUGAGUUUCUCCAGGUUUUUGUGUCUGUCUUCGGAAGAAACUGGCCCUGAAUCUGGAGGUAUGCGUUUUCACAUCUCUGUGCCAUUUGCCUUAUGAGAGAGGGGAGAAGAGAGAGUGUCCCGUGGUGCGACUCAUCCUUGAUUAUGCUGCUGGCCUUGCCGAGGCAGCGUGAGGUAUAAGUGGAGUCAAUGGAAGGGAGGUUGGUUUGUGUGAUGGUCUGGGCUGCGUCCACACUUUGCUGCAAUUUUAUGUGGUCUUGCAGCCAUGGCCAGUAAACAAUGGAAGUCUACUUGGGUACUUCGCUAUCACAGCGGAUGCCCAUUUAAAAUUGUCUAAUGAUGUUCCCAGGGGCUCUUAUGGAGGUGAAUGACACAAUGUUCAUCUGAUUUUAUAUGUCAUUGCAUUAUUCACAUUAUUGGCAACAAUCUUAUAAUGACACUCAAAACUUGACAAUGAAUCAUCAUAAGGCAACUGAAUUAUCCUACCACAACCAGAGAGCAGUGCUGAACUAUUAUCUACCCCUUUAGAAACAUAGAAAUUAGGUGCAGGAGUAGGCCAUUCGGCCCUUCGAGCCUGCACUGCCAUUCAAUAUGAUCAUGGCUGAUCAUCCAACUCAGUAUCCCAGUAUCUCAGUCUUUGAUGUCCCUCAGACUAUCCUUGACCAGAUUUUGCUGGCUCUACCUUGCACUAAACAUUAUUCCCUUAUCAUGUAUCUACACACUAUAAUGGUUCAAUUGUAAUCAUGUAUUGUCUUUCUGCUGACUGGUUAGCACCCAACAAAAGCUUUUCACUGUACCUCGGUACACGUGACAAUAAACUAAACUGAUGAUAGCUGAGCUGUAAACUUAUAUAAUCAGGUAAUUCACCUUAAAGUGAACACUCAUGCUAUGGAUUCCCCUUUUUUUUACUGCAAACAAGACAAUGAGAUAAGGGGGGAACAUUUAAAAGUUUGUUUUUAUGUUACUCGUGUAAAUUGUACAUUUCAGUAAGUUUUAAAUCAUCUUCUGAUUAAAGACUAUUUAAGGGUUUGUCAUAAGCAUCAUCACUUGCUUGUAAAAUUACAUUGCUUGAUUUAUUUCAGGAAGUGUUACAUUUUUUCUGCACUGUACACAAUUGCCUAAUUCCAUUUACUAAUGUGAAUGGCAAGAAAAUAACUGUUCGUGUUGUUUAGAGUAUUAGUACAUUUUGGGUCACAAGUCUGAUUCCUGAUGUUAUGCUAUAAGAAGAAGGGUCUCGAGCCGAAAUGUCACCUAUUCCUUUUCUCCAGAGAUGCUGCCUGACGCGCUGAGUUACUCCAACCUUUUGUGCCUGUCCUCGGUUAUACUGUAAGAUGUCACUCUGGAAAAUGCUCAUACUCGGAAUGAAUAAGCAAAACCUGAACUAAAUGGGCAAGAGAAAAUGAAAGAUGACAAAAGUUAUAAUGAACCCCAGCAGCACAUCCAGAUGUGACAGAGGUUGACAUGCACUCCUUCCAACUUGCCUAUUGCUUCCAAUGUAGCCUCCUGUACACAAGACCAAGAGGCGAUUAGGAGAUCGUUUCGAUGAACACGCGUUCUGCCUGCCAUGGCCUACUUGAUCUCCCAGUUGCCAACCAUUUUAACUCCUCUUCCCAUUCUCAUAUUGUCCUUCCUAUCCAUGGCCUCUGCCAUUGUCAUAGUGAGCCCACAUGCAAACUGGAAGAACUGCACCUCAUUUUAUGCUUGAGUGGUCUGCAACACAAGGGUAUUGAUGUCUCCAAUUUCAAGGAACUCCCACCCCCUUGCUCCAUCUCAUUCCCCCUGAAUCCCAUCCCCACCCCUGUGUGCAGGCAUUUCUCCCACAAUCUCUCAUCACCCUAGUCCUUUCCCCUCCCCCUCAUCGCCUAGUUACACAUUUCCCUUUAAACCCUCUCUCUCCACUUCUUCCUGUCACCAUCCACCCAGUAUGAGUAUUUCCAAUUAGUUAGUACAGGUGUCAGGUGUUAUGGUGAGAAGGCAGGAGAAUGGGGUUAGGAGGGAAAGAUAGAUCAGCCAUGAAUGAAUGGUAAAGACUUAAUGGGCUGAAUGGCCUAAUUCUGCUUCUAUGACUUAAAAAACUAUGGACAUGAUGUUUUGGAUCGGGACUCUUCUGCAAAGGGCAAAUAAUCAAAAGCCUUUCUUUUAUGAGUGGGGUUAAAUAUCAUUAAUAAUCACGGGAGGAGACAUUAAAAGUCUUGAUCACCCUCUUCGUUUUAUCUAUCUGUGAUGCCACUUAUUUAUUCAUGUGUGUAUAUAUUUAUAUUACGGUAUAUGGACACAUUGAUCUGUUUUGUAGUAAAUGCCUACUAUGUUCUGUUUGUGGAAGCAAAGCAAGAAUUUCAUUGUCCUAUCAGGGACACAUGACAAUAAACUCACUUGAAAUUGAACUUUCAGGGAACUAUGUACCUUUUGGCCUAAAUCCGUCUGCUCAACAACACUUGUAGAAGCCUUCACAAGCCCAAGUAUUAGAACUAUCCAGGACACCACCAUUCACUAUGAACAGUCACCCUUGAUUUUGAGGUAUAGACCUGGAUGGAGCUUGGAUCUGUAAACAUCUGUCUCAGAGUUCAGGGUGCUAUUGUCUAAACUUUCCUGCCCAUUUGUUCUCCAGAUGUUUUAACUUUCAUAACAUAUGAAUAUUUCCUUUAUGCUUUAAUAGUGGCAAUUAUGAGAAAAUAUUCAGAAUUAUUUCACAUAUGUAUAUAUAGCACAUCAUUACAGAAACACAUGUGCAACAUGUUGGCUGUAUGUAAACAUAUCUAGUGCCAGAGUAUAAAUAUAAAAUAUACCGAAAAAUAAAUAUAUUCUGAAAAUCUUUG